GAGACCACCCGCGGAGGAGCUCAAUCCUGACAUAAACCCUCACGUAGCUUCACCAGGACUUCACCAGUGAGAGCUGCCGGGCGAGUCGGUGUAAGGUUCAAGGAGUGUUUUGGGUGGGGAUCAUAGCGCCGCGUUGCGUUCAGCAUCCAGUCUGAGUCAUAACUCCUGACAUUCGGCACGUGCAAGUCAGCACGAUUCGCUCAGCUGAGGCAAGUCUGCCUUCCAACCUCGCCUUCGUCACCGCCCCCCCUCCCCUCCCCUCCUCAAACCCCAUCUCACAAAGAGAGAAAGGGAGGAGUGGUUUCAGAAGGGGGGGGAGAGACCGAAUGAAAACUGGAAAGGUGGUGAUAGGUGGGGAAGCCGGUGGGGUGGAGCUGUAAAAAUUAAAGAGGAGGAAGAGAUGGAGGAGGUGUGUUAUUAGGAGGCUGCUCUUUGUGYUUGAAAUUUAGGAAAUUUCAAAAAAAUUUAGUUUAAAAUUAAAGAGAAAAAUAAAAAAA